rnacentral:lncRNA from 1 species
UAAUCCACAUCAGGAACAUGAUAUAACAAAUGGGCCAUUAUUCAACAUUUUCCCCAUCCAAAUUUGCUAUUUGCUAGCACUUCUGUAUCUCUAUUAUAAAUUAUCGAUGUUACUAAUAUGCCUAUAAUUCUAUUCACCUUUACACUGAAUAUCAAGACAUCUCAAGUUCAGUCUCAUCCAUAAAGCCUUCCCAGUGAUAUUGGAAGGAUCCUGCCCCCACAAAAUCCCCCCAAAAAGAGGUGAGGACUCUUCAAGAAUCCAUAGGGAAGCUGAGUUUACAGAAUCUGGACUCCUAAAUAUUUGAAUACAAAGGGCCUCUCUUUCAUCUCUAGGUACCAUCAUUCACCUGGUCACAAUUAGUAGCCUCGAUGGAACUGACAAACCUGUCAAGGACUUACCAUGAAAUCUUAACACCUUAAGCACAAAGG